rnacentral:rRNA from 1 species
UACAGAGGUCCCAAGCGUUGUUCGGAUUCACUGGGCGUAAAGGGUGCGUAGGCGGUCGGGUAAGUCUGACGUGAAAUCUCACGGCUCAACCGUGGAACUGCAUUCGAAACUGUCGGGCUAGAGGCAGGUAGGGGAGAUCGGAAUUCCCGGUGUAGCGGUGAAAUGCGCAGAUAUCGGGAGGAACACCGGUGGCGAAGGCGGAUCUCUGGGCCUGUCCUGACGCUCAGGCGCGAAAGCUAGGGGAGCGAACAGG